UGGCUCAGGAUGAACGCUGGCGGCGUGCCUAAUACAUGCAAGUCGAACGCAUUGUGGUUGAAAUGAUAUGAAGAACUUGUUCAGAUUUGAUUUUCAACAUUGCAAUGAGUGGCGAACGGGUGAGUAACACGUGGGAAACCUACCUCUCAGCAGGGGAUAACAUUUGGAAACAAAUGCUAAUACCGUAUAAUAAUUAAAACCGCAUGGUUUUGAUUUAAAAGAUGGUCUUGCUAUCACUGAGAGAUGGUCCCGCGGUGCAUUAGUUAGUUGGUGAGGUAAUGGCUCACCAAGACAAUGAUGCAUAGCCGAGUUGAGAGACUGACCGGCCACAAUGGGACUGAGACACGGCCCAUACUCCUACGGGAGGCAGCAGUAGGGAAUCUUCCACAAUGGACGAAAGUCUGAUGGAGCAACGCCGCGUGUGUGAUGAAGGGUUUCGGCUCGUAAAGCACUGUUGUAAGAGAAGAAUGACAUUGAGAGUAACUGUUCAAUGUGUGACGGUAUCUUACCAGAAAGGAACGGCUAAAUACGUGCCAGCAGCCGCGGUAAUACGUAUGUUCCAAGCGUUUAUCCGGAUUUAUUGGGCGUAAAGCGAGCGCAGACGGUUAUUUAAGUCUGAAAGUGAAAGCCCUCGGCUCAACCGAGGAAUUGCUUUGGAAACUGGAUAACUUGAAUGCAGUAGAGGAAAGUGGAACUCCAUGUGUAGCGGUGAAAUGCGUAGAUAUAUGGGAGACACCAGUGGCGAAGGCGGCUUUCUGGACUGUAACUGACGUUGAGGCUCGAAAGUGUGGGUAGCAAACAGCAUUAGAUACCCUGGUAGUCCACACCGUAAACGAUGAGUGCUAGUUGUUCGAGGGUUUCCGCCCUUGAGUGACGAAGCUAACGCAUUAAGCACUCCGCCUGGGGAGUACGACCGCAAGGUUGAAACUCAAAGGAAUUGACGGGGACCCGCACAAGCGGUGGAGCAUGUGGUUUAAUUCGAAGCAACGCGAAGAACCUUACCAGGUCUUGACAUCCUUUGACCACUCCAGAGAUGGAGCUUUCCCUUCGGGGACAAAGUGACAGGUGGUGCAUGGUUGUCGUCAGCUCGUGUCGUGAGAUGUUGGGUUAAGUCCCGCAACGAGCGCAACCCUUAUUGUUAGUUGCCAGCAUUUAGUUGGGCACUCUAGCAAGACUGCCGGUGACAAACCGGAGGAAGGCGGGGAUGACGUCAAAUCAUCAUGCCCCUUAUGACCUGGGCUACACACGUGCUACAAUGGCAAGUACAACGAGUCGCCAACCCGCGAGGGUGCGCAAAUCUCUUAAAGCUUGUCUCAGUUCGGACUGUAGGCUGCAACUCGCCUACACGAAGUCGGAAUCGCUAGUAAUCGCGGAUCAGCACGCCGCGGUGAAUACGUUCCCGGGUCUUGUACACACCGCCCGUCACACCAUGAGAGUUUGUAACACCCAAAGUCGGUGAGGUAACCUUUUAGGA
rnacentral:rRNA from 1 species